UACGUAGGGUGCAAGCGUUAAUCGGAAUUACUGGGCGUAAAGGGCGCGCAGGCGGCUCAUUUUGUCAGGCGUGAAAGCCCCGGGCUUAACCUGGGAACUGCGUUUGAUACGGGUGGGCUAGAGUUCGGGAGAGGAGCGUGGAAUUCCCAGUGUAGAGGUGAAAUUCGUAGAUAUUGGGAAGAACACCGGUGGCGAAGGCGGCGCUCUGGACCGAGACUGACGCUGAGGCGCGAAAGCGUGGGGAGCAAACAGG
rnacentral:rRNA from 1 species